CUUCAGGUGAACAUCAUGAGCUUCAUAGCAGAGCUGCUGGGAUGGUUCGAGGUGCAUAAACCUGACUUCGUCAAGCCAUUACUACCUCUAGACCUGACAGAUGCCUCAGGGUUGUUGGAGUCCAGUCCUGUCAGUGGGUACAGCAUCAGUGGCUCUCCCUCCUAUAUCUUCAAACAGCCCUUCGUCCCCAUAUCCUCUCCU